GCAUAUUCAAAAAGCGGAGGAAAAGAAACCAACAGGGAUUGCCUUAGUAGCGGCGAGUGAAGCGGCAAAAGCUCAAAUUUGAAAUCUGGCUCUUUCAGAGUCCGAGUUGUAAUUUGAAGAAGGUAUCUUUGGGUCUGGCUCUUGUCUAUGUUUCUUGGAACAGAACGUCACAGAGGGUGAGAAUCCCGUGCGAUGAGAUGAUCCAGGCCUAUGUAAAGUUCCUUCGAAGAGUCGAGUUGUUUGGGAAUGCAGCUCUAAGUGGGUGGUAAAUUCCAUCUAAAGCUAAAUAUUGGCGAGAGACCGAUAGCGAACAAGUACAGUGAUGGAAAGAUGAAAAGAACUUUGAAAAGAGAGUGAAAAAGUACGUGAAAUUGUUGAAAGGGAAGGGCUUGAGAUCAGACUUGGUAUUUUGUAUGUUACUUCUUCGGGGGUGGCCUCUACAGUUUAUCGGGCCAGCAUCAGUUUGGGCGGUAGGAGAAUUGCGUUGGAAUGUGGCACGGCUUCGGUUGUGUGUUAUAGCCUUCGUCGAUACUGCCAGCCUAGACUGAGGACUGCGGUUUAUACCUAGGAUGUUGGCAUAAUGAUCUUAAGUCGCCCGUCUUGAA
rnacentral:rRNA from 1 species